rnacentral:rRNA from 1 species
AUGGGUAGGGGAAGAGGCAGAGGAAGGAAGCCCAUCGCCAACGGCAGGAGCCAUGAAGACAAGAUGAGCAGCGGCGAAGAGGUCGUGCCUGCGAGGAAGAGGAGAGGAAGGCCCCAAAAGCAGCGCGCCCCCGACAAGGUCGAUCUAGCAGAACCCAAGAACUCGGCAGCGGGCGUUCAUGGCGACGCAGAAGGAGACGACGCAAAGCUCAAGGAGAACGACGACCCUGAAGGCAAUGGCAACAAGAGGAACAGGGCGCCCAAGGAGGAGAGCUCGAACCUCGACAUGGAGGAGAACAGCUCGAGCACCCGGUCCAGCAACGACGAGUCGACGACGACGACCAGGUCCAGCGGCUUCCGGCAGAACGGGAGCCGCCGGAAGAGCACGCCCCGGCGAGCAGCCGAGGCGGGCCUGUAG